CUUAUGAUGGCGACCGGCGCACGGGUGCGUAAGGCGUAUGCAACCUACCUUUUACAGGGGCAUAACACUGAGAAAUUGGUACUAAUUCCCCAUAAUAUCUGAGACGGCAUCGUUUUGGGUUGAAAACUCCGGUGGUAAAAGAUGGGCAUGCGUUGUAUUAGCUAGUUGGUGAGGUAACGGCUCACCAAGGCGACGAUACAUAGGGGGACUGAGAGGUUAACCCCCCACAUUGGUACUGAGACACGGACCAAACUCCUACGGAAGGCAGCAG
rnacentral:rRNA from 1 species